rnacentral:piRNA from 1 species
UCCCCCUUUCAGCUCGGUUUACCAAGCGCCU